UCCAAAGUCUCUAGCCCUCGUGCUCUAUUCAGGCCUUAGGUAACCUAAUAAGAAACAGCCUGUGUUUGCGCCUUUGAGCGGUGUGGCGCUGAUGUAACGCGCUGAGGAAGCGCAGGACAAAGGUGUCAGGAUUGUGUUGGACUCUCAGCCGGGCCGCUUUGGUGACUGUUCCCUCGUCGCUGAAAUUCCACGGGGCUCAGCAGCCCCAUCGGGGAGGCAGAUGUGGCAGCAGUCCCGUGGGCCUUCAGGUUGCCCAGGGACUCACAGGAGACGUGCCACCUCCUUCUGGGGGGUUGGCAGCGCCUUCUGAAAGUGGCCGUGCUGAAAGCAAGUUCCUAAAGUGCUCCUGUGUGUGUGAAUUCAGAUUGUUUGUCGUUGGAUGUAAGAAGAAAAAAAACAUUAUUAAAAUACGUCCAUUUGUUUU